rnacentral:lncRNA from 10 species
CUCACCGCGAAGGUCUGUAGUUUCACUUUUGAACCAGCGAGACCAUGAACCCGCCAGAAAGAAAAAACUGCCAACACAGCCGGACAUCAGAAGGAACAAACUGGGGACACGCUGCCUUUAAGAAACAUAACAGGCACCGUGAGGGUCCACGGCUUCAUUCUUGAAGUUAGUGAGACCAAGAACCCACCUAAUCCCGGGCACAAAACCACCUCAAUCUCCCAAAGACCGAAAGCCCUGGUGUCGCUGGGACCAGAGGUGAGACGUGGAACACGUGGGGAAGAUGAGAAGGCGCUGGAGAAGGAGGGUGGUGGUCGCAGAUGGGAAUGUGGUGGAGCCAAUGAGCUGUGCGGGUAAAAAUGGUUGAUAGAAAUUGAUGUAUAUUUUACCACAAUUGUGUGUGUGUGUGUUUGUGUGAGAGUUCUGUUUAUCUGCACAAUAGGAUUGUACUCGUAGUUUGCAGUGUUGUUGAGAGAAAGAAAUAGGAUCUUAAAGUGCUUAUCACAGCAUCUAGCGCCUUUUAAAUACUGAAGAAUAGUAAUACGAUUAGCAGCCGAAGAAUGUGCUAUUUAUAUUAAAAUAAAAAAUACAUCAGGCCAUCCCUCAGCGAGGCAGCCAAAGUUAGCACCUACGCAAUGAGCCAUGCUGGUGGUGUGUGCUUUUGCAUGGGUGUGAAAAGCUAUGCUCUCAGCAGACCCAAAACCCCAUCUAAUCACGAGAAAAACAGCAGACACAUGCCAGCUGAGAGGAUAGCGGGCCAGGCCUCCUCAAAACUGAUGGGCUCAUCAGCAACAAGGAAAGUGUGAGGAACUCUUAGCUUGGGAGGAGCCUGCGGAGAGUAACUACAACCACCACCGGCAACGGGGCAUCCUGGGCCGGCUCCCAGACCAGAAAAUGACAUCAGGUAAAAACUAAAGGAAGCUGAAUAAAUGGUGGGCUUUAGUUAUAACAGUGGAUCAGCAUGAGUUCAUUAAUUGUGACAAAUUUGCCAUUCUAAUGUAAGAUGUUAAGAGGAGAAACCGGGUGUGGGGCAUAUAGGAACUCUGUGUUAGCUUGGCAAUUGUUCUAUAAAUCUACAACGAAUCUAAAAUGUAACAAUUAUUGGAAAGGAGGACUGAAAAGAUUCAAGAGAAAGUGAUAAUAUUGAAGACAGGGGAAGAAACUGACAUACAGAUAAUAGGAGUCCCUGAAGAAGAAAUCCAAAGUGAAUAGAACAGUGAAAUUUGUAAAUCAAGAAAAGUUUCCUGAAAUAAAAUUUGAAACUACAUACUGAGAAA